rnacentral:rRNA from 1 species
UUAUUUGGGUCUGGUUACUGUUAGUACGUUGAGGGGUUGCUCUUAGUUAAGAGGUGGUGGUCUUAUUUUUGGAGGUUUUGUUUUUCUCCAAGGUCGCCCCAACCGAAAAAUGCGAGCCAGCACAUCAUGUCUGGUGAGCCUAGUAGG